rnacentral:rRNA from 1 species
CGGCCUUCGGGUUGUAAACCSCUUUUGAUYGGGYGCAAGCCUUCGGGUGAGUGUACCUUUCGAAUAAGCACCGGCUAACUACGUGCCAGCAGCCGCGGUAAUACGUAGGGUGCAAGCGUUAUCCGGAAUUAUUGGGCGUAAAGGGCUCGUAGGCGGUUCGUCGCGUCCGGUGUGAAAGUCCAUCGCUUAACGGUGGAUCYGCGCCGGGUACGG